CAGCAGCCACGGGAAUACGAGGGGGGCAAGCGUUGUUCGGAAUUAUUGGGCGUAAAGGGUGCGUAGGCGGCUUGGCAAGUCUUAUGUGAAAUCUCUGGGCUCAACCCGGAGUCUGCAUGAGAAACUGCCGGGCUUGAGUAUGGGAGAGGUGAGUGGAAUUUCCGGUGUAGCGGUGAAAUGCAUAGAUAUCGGAAGGAACACCUGUGGCGAAAGCGGCUCACUGGACCAUAACUGACGCUGAUGCACGAAAGCUAGGGGAGCAAACAGGAUUAGAGACCCCCGUAGUCCCUGUCUCUUAUAC
rnacentral:rRNA from 1 species